CGCAUGAGUUUAUUAUAAAAGAAUCCUUCAUUCUCAGCGACUGCUUUCACAACGACCUUGUUCAGCCAUAGAUACAUCAUUUACAGACUGGGAGAAAUACAACACUAUGUUUCCUCGAUGGAUGGUGCUUGCUAUUUUAGUUGUGUUGGGAGGUCUAGGCGUACACGGCAGGAUACCGCCUCCGCCGCCUACCACUGCCACACCGCCUACCACUGCCACACCGCCUACUACGACAACUGGUCAUCCUUACACCACCCCUCCGUUUCCAACCACCUCAGGCUGCAACCCUGCGGACGAAUCCACGUACUAUGACGAGGUUUCCGGAUGUCGGGCUGGGUGUUCGUGUUGGGACGGUCAACUGGUGUGCUGGGAUUCCGCUGAGUGCUUCAACCGAUAAGAAGGCAUGGAACAGGUGAGGCCGAACGCUCUGCUUGUCAUGACUACCAACAAUAUUCUGUUCGCACAAGUCGUUCCGUGGCCAUAAACUGAUUCCUAGAAACACGUGGUUCUCUUCAAGAGAAUAUGCCUAAAGAUUAAUCUCGUACAAGAGAUUUCAAGUAAUAAAAAAUGGCAAAAACUU